UUGAACGCUGGCGGCAUGCUUUACACAUGCAAGUCGAACGGCAGCGCGGGCUUCGGCCUGGCGGCGAGUGGCGAACGGGUGAGUAAUACAUCGGAACGUGCCCAGUAGUGGGGGAUAGCUCGGCGAAAGCCGGAUUAAUACCGCAUACGACCUGAGGGUGAAAGCGGGGGAUCUUCGGACCUCGCGCUAUUGGAGCGGCCGAUGGCAGAUUAGCUAGUUGGUGGGGUAAAGGCCUACCAAGGCGACGAUCUGUAGCUGGUCUGAGAGGACGACCAGCCACACUGGGACUGAAACACGGCCCAGACUCCUACGGGAGGCAGCAGUGGGGAAUUUUGGACAAUGGGCGAAAGCCUGAUCCAGCAAUGCCGCGUGUGUGAUGAAGGCCUUCGGGUUGUAAAGCACUUUUGGCGGGAACGAAAAGGACUGUGCCAAUACCACGGUUCGAUGACGGUACCCGCAGAAUAAGCACCGGCUAACUACGUG
rnacentral:rRNA from 1 species